rnacentral:misc_RNA from 1 species
GUUCCUAGGCAUUCACCAUAGAAUUUUAUUACUUUGAAUAUUUUUAUUUUCCAUUUCUAUUUUGCCAAUUUGUUUAUACAACAUAAAAUAAUAUAUAUCUUUGUUCAAUCCAUGUCAAUAUUUAUUUUAUUUUUUACAUUAUUUAAACAAAACACUCAAAAACAUGAACAUUAAAAAAAUAAAAUAAAGGUUUGAAGUACAAAAUAAAAACCCUGGCAAUAACUUACUCUCCCGCAAACUCGCAGACUC